rnacentral:rRNA from 1 species
GGUUAAGCGACUAAGCGUACACGGUGGAUGCCCUGGCAGUCAGAGGCGAUGAAGGACGUGCUAAUCUGCGAUAAGCGUCGGUAAGGUGAUAUGAACCGUUAUAACCGGCGAUUUCCGAAUGGGGAAACCCAGUGUGUUUCGACACACUAUCAUUAACUGAAUCCAUAGGUUAAUGAGGCGAACCGGGGGAACUGAAACAUCUAAGUACCCCGAGGAAAAGAAAUCAACCGAGAUUCCCCCAGUAGCGGCGAGCGAACGGGGAGGAGCCCAGAGCCUGAAUCAGUGUGUGUGUUAGUGGAAGCGUCUGGAAAGGCGCGCGAUACAGGGUGACAGCCCCGUAC